rnacentral:rRNA from 1 species
AAUAGAUACCGGGUAGUCCACCCCGUAAACGUUGGGAACUAGUUGUGGGCUCCUUUCCACGGAUUCCGUGACGCAGCUAACGCAUUAAGUUCCCCGCCUGGGGAGUACAGCCGCAAGGCUAAAACUCAAAGGGAUUGACGGGGACCCGCACAAGCGGCGGAGCAUGCGGAUUAAUUCGAUGCAACGCGAAGAACCUUACCAAGGCUUGACAUACACCGGAAACGGCCAGAGAUGGUCGCCCCGCAAGGUCGGUGUACAGGUGGUGCAUGGUUGUCGUCAGCUCGUGUCGUGAGAUGUUGGGUUAAGUCCCGCAACGAGCGCAACCCUCGUUCCAUGUUGCCAGCACGUAAUGGUGGGAACUCAUGGGAUACUGCCGGGGUCAACUCGGAGGAAGGUGGGGAUGACGUCAAAUCAUCAUGCCCCUUAUGUCUUGGGCUUCACGCAUGCUACAAUGGCCGGUACAAAGGGCUGCAAUACCGUGAGGUGGAGCGAAUCCCAAAAAGCCGGUCCCAGUUCGGAUUGAGGUCUGCAACUCGACCUC